rnacentral:tRNA from 1 species
UCCCUGGAGGUCCAAUGGUUAAGACUCUGCACUUCUGCUGCAGGGGCACAGGUUCAAUCCCUGGUCAGGGAA